ensembl:lncRNA
AGCAUUGAUGUGCAGUGUACAAUACCUGUCUGUCACACCCACAGCUUCCCACUGCCAGCCUGGAGACAUUAGCACACAGAGCUUUGAGUGACACACCUGGUCUUGGAUGUGCGUGUGUGAGGGGGGGGGGGGGGAGCUGGCUGGCUGGCUACUGACUCCAUCCGUGAGUGGUGCGUCGGCGGAGCUAUGAAUGGGCAGAGAGGGGUGUACUCUCACAGACACCAUAGCAGCAGUGAGAUGAGGAGUGUCAUUUACUCCACUGCACGCCUACUGUACUGAGAGGAGAAAAGAGAGGGAAGGAGGUGAGUGUAUAAAUUAACCCCAGGCAUUUCAUUUGUCUCAUUUGCGAUGAUUGCAGGGCUCGUUCAGUCAGUAGAUGUGGGUGCCUUUUUUUCUCCUCUUUCCAUCACCCGCAUCAUUCAUCCUCCACUCCCUUCUGUCACUCAGUGCUUUACUGUGCUUGAUGAAAAGUACUGUGCCUCCUUCAUUUCCUCAUUCAUGGAAAAGCACGUUUUCAUUCAGACUGUGCUAGCGCUCUGUCUUGUCUCUGUUUUGUUGUUUACAGCUUUCAGUUUGAGCUAAGCUUCAUGUCCAUUGUACAUCUGGAUGAAUAACAAGCAGGUUCUGGAUUUCUAAAAUAGUUCUUCUAAUGGGAGCUCACACCGCCUUAGAGAGUCCUGCAAAAUAUGUGUAAGUGCUGUAAAACAAAACCUGUCCAGCCGAUCGAUGCAGGCACAUUAAUGUGGAUUGAAAGAUUGUGCACAGUUGAAGGGCAGUCUUCAAUCAGUCUUCAGUGGGUUAAGAAUGAAAAGAUUAUGGAGUCAUAACCAUGACUCGGGUAUCAGGUGAGAUACACAUGGCUCAGCUGUGAUUCCGACAGAGGGCAGUUGUGCUGGUCAGCUACUGACUUAAUACAUCCAGCUGGGUGUAGUUGGGAUGUGUGCAUGUCCCACCUGAGUGUGACAAAACAGACAGCACAUCAUCAUCAAUUACACGGCAUAAUGUCCUUGACACUGAGCCAUUUUCAUGUGCUCUCUUCCAUCACUGCUCACAUGCUGACCUUGGUGCUCCAGCCAUCUCGCUGUGUGUUGUCUGUGGUAAAACAGCCCAUUUUAUUACACAAAUCCUGGCCACGUGAAGAUUUGCGAUCAGCAUGUUUGCAGACACUUGUGUGGUGGCUGAGAAAUGUCAGACACUGAUUUUUAACUCCUGGUUUGAAUUCCUCCCAAAAGACUUGAAACCAUCAACACAUGGCUGAAGCGAUACAGGCAUCCAGUGUCAUCACUGUUUGACUAAAUCAGCGAAUGAAACUAAUGACUUCUUAUUGUGUUUCCAGGAGGGAGUGAUUUGGCAGACCUUUAGGUUGAGCAGGAAGAAGGCAGGAGUGACAGUGCAGAGGCAGAACACACAUCCACAGGAAACUUAUGCUUAAGGAGCUCUUGUCAUGUUCUUUUUCUCAGUUAGGGAGUUAAUUAGUGUUGACCCGGACGCAAAGAUAGGCUCUGUGUGAGGUUCUUUCAGGGUUAUGGAUUCAAACCUCCGGAAUAGAUUUGCUUCUUACGUAACGCAGAUGUGAACAGCAGCGUUUAUUAAGGAUCGUAAAGGCUACGUAGUCAUUAAACUUUUCUGCCUUAUCUUUUUCCUUCUGCUGCAUCUCAAAUUGAGACUGUUUGUUCAUCCCUGCAGAACAAAACUUAUUCAGUAGCUUUAAAUGGUAAAGAUUGCUUUGCAUGUGUAUGCUCCCGUCUGUAGGGGCAUGUAAAAGCUUUAUGCAUGUACAUUUCUUUUUAUCUAUAUCAAAAAAAGAGACGUGAUGAUUUCGAUGUGCCACCUUGAUUGUUGCUCAUGUGGACUAAUCGUUGGCGAAGUGUUUCUAAAAGCCACAGGGGUUUUUAUCUCUGCUACAAAGGAGCUGGACUUCCACCCGCCUCAGUCUAACCUAUACGAUCCUCCACUUCUUGGCUUCGUCUGCAGUGGAAGAAUUUCUCUUCUACACAAAGAUGAAAAGACGGUAACAGAGGAAAGCAGGGGUUGACAGAGUGAGGCAAGCAAGCAAAUCAUUCACAUUUAGGUCAUUUCCUUCAGCGAGUUGGUCAGAAAGAGCACUCAGGACUCUUUGAAUGCCUGCCCUGCCAUCAAGCCUCAGAUUAUCCUCAGCUGUCCCUCAAAGGACUAUAAUGCACAUUUUAAAGUAAGUGCAGAGAGUUCAUCAUCCCUCCUGGCUGUACCUACCGAACAAACAUACAUGUUCUGCGGUAAUGGAACUUGUAUAAAAGAAAGCAGAAACUCCACUGGUACUGACCAAGUGGAGUAUUUCUGGCCUCACUGAAUAUCACAUAUAUUCCACUUCAGGUAGGACUUUGUACCAGAGUUCCCUGCAGCAUCAAAAGUGAUGCCACCAUGAUGUCAGCCAUCACAGCGAGUGAGUGCGCUCCCGUUGAUCAUUUCCUAUUCAUUCUUUAUGAGCCCUGGGCUAAAUGCUUCCUGUAAGCUUAGGCAGAACUGGAGCCCAGAAUAGUAGACUGUUUGACUUCAGUCAGAGUGUGUAUGUAUAUAUGUGUGUAUAUGUAUAUAUGUGUGUAUAUGUGUAUAUAUAUAUAUGUGUGUGUGUGUGUGUGUGUGUGUGUGUGUGUGUGUGUGUGUGUGUGUGUGUGUGUGUGUGUGUGUUUGGCAUUCUAGCCUCAUCAGUAAGUAAUAAGUAAAUUGUAAUUCCAUGCAUCUUGGAAAGAGAUAAGCUGUCUGUUAGAUGUGCUACAUUUUGAAAACUCAGCAAUGAUUGACGCUUUAAAGGCUCUGAAAAAAAAAACACAGCUUUUUGUGAAAUGACUCAGUUGCCUCAGUUACAUAAUGGUAAUGUUGCAUAUGUCUCUGCACCAAUCAGGAUUUAGAAACAGGUAUUUUUUUAAUGUAGAAACAUCAAGGAUAUGAAGUUAUUUCUGUUACUAUCACAUCAUUUUUCAUAUUUAUUAGGUUGCAAUAUGCCAAAUUACAUUAUUAAUUCAAUUUACAGUUAUUUUUAUACUAUUCAUUCACAACAGCAGUCACCUCAAGUUCAUUUAUAUUAUAAGGUAAAGACCCUACAAUAUUAAAGAAACCCCAAGAAUUACACAACCUCCUCCGAGCAAACACCUGGUGACAGUGGGAAGGAAAAACUCCCUAUUAACAGGAACAGACCUUCAGCAGAACCAGGCUCAGGGUGGGACACCCAUCUGCGGUGACUGGUUGGGGGGGAGGGGAAGGAGAAUAGAGGACAGAGAGACAGAACAAAUGGCAAAUCAUAGGAAAAAGAGCCAGAAAAAAAAAAUACUGGCAAAAGUGAUAGAUCCACUUAGAUGGUGUUUCUGCUAUUCUCUGCAGGAUGUAGACAAAAGCAUCAGAAAACUACAAUAACUUCCUAAUUUUAAAGUUUCCGCUUUCAAUAAUGUUGGUUCCCAUGUUCAACCAAGAGCUUUUAAGCUCAAGUCUUUUGUUUGAAAUACCUAUGACAUAUUUUAUUUCUUCUUUUUGAACAGCAGCACUGAACCACCCCUUCACACCAUUAGAAUCUCAUCGGUGUGCCUGACAGAGAGAAGCAGACAUCAAAAGGGAGGCUGAUGGACUGUUAAAAAAAGAAAGGGAAAAAAAGUCUCUUGUUCACUGAACCAGACCCAGUGGUGUUUUGUCCCUCAGCCAACAGGGCUCAUGACUCCAGCUGUGGCCCUGGCUGUGACUGUUGCCUAGUGUUCUCUGUGGUCUUUCAGUUCUUGAGGAAUCACUGUUUGAGUAACUGUGUGUGUGUCCUUGUUCAGAGCAGUCCUUUUCACGAUUUUAUUUGCUGUGACUUGCUGUUUUGCUUUCAUCCUCUGAGCUAAAGUUGAGCUUCUGUUAUGUCAACCAUUAGGGCUCCAACAAGCAAUGUUUAUAUACUGAAAUACAAUUUAAAAAAAAAUAUUUGGUGGAUUUAUGUAUAAUCAAACAAGGUCAGAAGAAUUACCACCCCUUCUUCCCCCCCACCGCUCCUUUUUUUUUUAAAAGUAUGCCUGUUUUGCCAGUAGAGAAAAUUGAGCCAAGCUAACCUGUAAUCAGUCAUAAUUUUUGCUUCUAGUGAAUCCCAAAGCUAAAAACAAACAACAGGACACUGAAAUCUGCAGUAGUGUAUCUCUGAGUCAGAGACACCCUCUAGUGAGAAGAGCUCAUAACUGCACACUCUCUUGCUCCACUUGGAUCUCUUGCAGUGGAUCAGACCGCUUAGGGCAAGAUUAAUUGUUUGCAUUUUACUGGAUAUAUUAAUGACUUUCCCUUGUCUGUUGUUGUUGCGUGCAGUCACGCUUUUUGAAAGUUUCUCUCGUUUUUUCUCCUAACCUUUUAGUUGCACAGCCAAAGUUUGCAAGAAAAACAGAGUGAUCCAUCCUAAGUCCCCACAGCCCCGAACUUCUGAGGAAAAACUUUCAAGUCAGCCAUGGAGCAGAAGACAAAUGAGGUACUUAAGAACCCGAUACUCUGAUACACUAAAUUUUAAUCAUUUGCCGUCUAAUGCGACCCUUCCCUCUGCCUAGUGUCCCACCAGCACCUCUCCUCAGAAACACAUGAAAAAUAGGUCUAAGUCCACAGAGGAGGUACAGCAGUCAAAGAAGGUGAGCCUGCAGCAGCCUGAUGUUCACCCUAGCACACUAUUUCUUCCCUCACCCUAUGAGUCAACCUAACUGUCUUUCCUCACAGGCCUUUUCCUCACAAAAAUCACUCCCAGGCAGACCAGAGCUGGAGAGAGUGAAGGAAUGUCCUGAUGGCUCUGAGACACCGUCAUCCUCCAGCGAAGAACUGAAAUGAUGAACAAAGCCAAAAAAAGAUGCCAUAAAGCUACAUCAUCAUAAACCUGAGACAUAAAAUGUGCAGAUGUACACAGCGGAACAUGCAGAAUAGUAUAUGAAAAAAAUGCAAGCCGUGAAUUGAUUAAAAGGAGAGAAUUGGACUAAAACACACACACACACACACACACACACACACACACACACACACACACACACACACACACACACACACACACACACACACAAAUUCACCCUACCGCUGAAACAACAUGUAUGUGAACAAAAGGACACCUGUGAUGAUAUUGUUUCAUUGUACUGUGAGUGGUGUAUACAUGCCACCUGAAUGUGUAGUAACAAUAAAGUGAUGUUGCUGAGUGAAUCUGUGUUUACUAACCUCCACUAAGCCAACUGCCAAAUAAUAAGGCUGUCGGAAACAAUACAGAUAGAUGAUGGUGUGCAGCAGAGGAUGAAAGAAGCACAGCUUAAAAUCGAAAUCUUUAUGAAAUCACCCAAUAAUAUGUAAGAUUAUCCCAUCGAUGCAUUCAAUGGCAGUCUCAGUGUAUUUUUAAAUAAAAAUAAAUAAAGGUGCUGAUGUUUAAGGACGGAAGAGCUGCUUCAUCACACAUAAAUAUAUGUAUCAUUAGUUUCAAAUGUUCUUUUCACCCUGCAACGUCUCCUGCAGUUUUUUUUUUUUUUUUUUACAAACUUGCAAGGUCCGAAGCCCAAUUUGAAAUCUGGCAACCUUCUGCCACCCACGCAAUCCUUUAAUCAUAACUCUGAUUACUGCAUGAAACUACGAUGGAGUGUUUUCUUCUCGGUGAUUUAUUUUGAUUUGCUUGUUGAAGUUCUGUUGAUUGAUUUGCUCGUUAAAGCCGAUUCUCUCUUAUGAGCUUUACGUCUGCCACCUACGAUAAGAAGUCAUUUAAAUUCCAUGGGUUUUAUUUUAAUAGUUGUGAUUGCUUUUUGUUUUUAAUUGUAAAAUGCGCCUCCUUGGCCAGCAAGCCUGCAGGCCUAACUUCAGCACCCACUAGGGGGCUGCAGCAACCACUUUGGGAAUCGCAUAAUCUGAAACGGAGGCCGUACAUGUGGCAGGAUUGACGCUUGUUCCUAAACCAGCAGCUUAGGUGCUCAAAUCCUGAAAUCGAGUUGAUUAUUUGAGUCUGAUUGUUUCAGUUCUGUGAAUGUGAAGCUCCAGUUAAGAUUUUAGCUCUUGUGUUAACAACAGACAUGAAAAACACACAGAUCUAUAUAAAAUAUCAGAGUGCUUUUUCUUUUUCUCAAAGCGUCAUUCCUCCCUUCGUGUAGAUGACAACAGUGAUCAAGGUAAA